rnacentral:rRNA from 1 species
AUGCGGAUCCGCAGGUGCGCCUCCCGCCUGCUGGGCUCCGCCGCAGCCGCACCCCUCAUCAGCUGCUCUUCCGCUGAGCCGCCGCGAUUCGAGCUGCCCGCGCCUGCGCCGCCGGCCCCAGCCGACGAAUCCCGGCCCGGCUUAGUGGCGCCCGACGCCUCCUCCUCCGGGGAGCCCUGCUGCGAGCUCAGCCAGUCUCCGUGGGACCUCAUGGACCAGCUCGACCUCUCGGAUCCCCAGGUGGAGAAGCUGUUCGAGGAGACUCACUUCGUCAGUGUCACCUGGCGAUCUAGCUGGCUAUUCCUACCCAGCAUGCCUGCAUUCGGCUCUAUCAAGGAGGACCAGGAGCAGGAGGACAUGUCCGAGGGGGUUGAACUGCACAUUAUUGCUGCAAAAAAGAUGGCGAGAGAGAAGAAUGGGAGCAAGCUGAAGAAAAAUAAGGGGGUGAAACUGAAGAAAGGAGUCUGGACGUGCAGGAAGAACGACGGCAAGGGUUGGUUCUGCCGGCGGCUCACGAGAGAGCCCAAUUCCUACUGCUCGUACCACUCGGAUCAUAAGCUGAAGCUACCUGGCAGUGAGAAGCCACAUGGGAAGAGAGCCCCGGUCAACGUCGGCGAGGAGUUCUACUACUAUGCCGGGUUCGGCCCCGGCACCAAGAGGCGCCGCACGCCAAGCAGCGACAGCGUGCCCGAACCUCCACUGCUUGCUGAACCACUGAAGGAGGAGGCACCAUCUGAAAUAGAAACUUAA